rnacentral:rRNA from 1 species
GAUGAACGCUGGCGGCGUGCCUAAUACAUGCAAGUAGAACGCUGAAGGAGGAGCUUGCUCUUCUGGAUGAGUUGCGAACGGGUGAGUAACGCGUAGGUAACCUGCCUGGUAGCGGGGGAUAACUAUUGGAAACGAUAGCUAAUACCGCAUGACAACAGUUAUUGCAUGAUAACUGUUUAAAAGGGGCAACUGCUCCACUACCAGAUGGACCUGCGUUGUAUUAGCUAGUUGGUGAGGUAACGGCUCACCAAGGCGACGAUACAUAGCCGACCUGAGAGGGUGAUCGGCCACACUGAGAGUGAGACACGGCCCAGACUCCUACGGGAGUCAGCAGUAGGGAAUCGUCGGCAAUGGACGGAAGUCUGACCGAGCAACGCCGCGUGAGUGAAGAGGGUUUUCGGAUCGUAAAGCUCUGUUGUAAGAGAAGAACGAGUGUGAGAGUGGAAAGUUCACACUGUGACGGUAUCUUACCAGAAAGGGACGGCUAACUACGUG